rnacentral:rRNA from 1 species
GAUGAACGCUAGCGACAGGCCUAACACAUGCAAGUCGAGGGGCAUCGGGGCGUAGCAGUACGCUGCCGGCGACCGGCGGAUGGGUGAGUAACGCGUAUGCAACCUGCCUUCAGCAGGGGGAUAGCCCGUUGAAAGACGGAUUAAUACCCCGUAACACAGGGGCUCCGCAUGGAGAUUAUUGUUAAAGGGAUACUUCCUUCGGGGGGUAUUCCGGCUGAAGAUGGGCAUGCGUUCCAUUAGGUAGUUGGUUGAGGUAACGGCUCACCAAGCCUACGAUGGAUAGGGGAACUGAGAGGUUGGUCCCCCACACUGGUACUGAGACACGGACCAGACUCCUACGGGAGGCAGCAGUGAGGAAUCUUGGUCAAUGGACGGAAGUCUGAACCAGCCAUGUCGCGUGAAGGAGGACGGCCCUAAGGGUUGUAAACUUCUUUUGUAGCGGAAUAAAGUAUUCCACGAGAUGGGAUAUUGCAAGUACGCUGCGAAUAAGGAUCGGCUAACUCCGUG